UGUUAGAGAAAUCACUGGAACAACAGUCACAGGUAAUAUAUUUACCGUUGUUUUUAAUGUUUGUCGAAAUUGUUUGACAAUUCUUAAUCAAAUCACCUGGCUGUGUAAUUGCUACAAAGAAUGAUGUUUAAUAAUUGUCUUUUUAGGAAAUUGCUGGGAUGACUCUACAGCUAAGCGAAUUACAGAACUUAAAAUUAACCAAUAAUGACCUAGCGGAUAAAGUUCGGGUAUGUAUAAAAUAGAUGUGUGCAGAAUACAAGGAAAAGGUUAAUUCGCUGACCUCAGAAUGACAUUUCGUCAAAACGUUUUUCUUCAAGAUUGGUUUAGAAACAAACUUGGAGUAGGGUUAGGAUUAGGGUUACGGAGUCGGUGUUUGGAAUAGGGUUAGGGUUAGUAAAACCGUUGCUUAAUUGUUACGUUUUGUCACUCUGAAGCCAGCGAAAUGUUAAACCUCUUCCAGAUGAUCGCUCGUGUGAUAAAAAUACUGACAAGCCAUAACUCAUAAGGUGUCAAGGCGUGAAACUUGAAAAAGUUCGCAAAUUGUUUCAAAAAUCGCUCAGUAUGUGACAUUGUGCCUUUAAAUAGCUUAAAAAUUGUGCAUUGAUUGCCUUCGAAAUCUUUCCAGGAACUCAAGGCAGAAAACGAGCGACUUCAAUCAGCCUCGCAGGAAUUCUCAAGCAGACAAAGAAGUAUGGCGGAACAGGAAGGGAAAUUGGUGGAACUAAAACAACUAUUUACAAAAAUGAACAGCCAUAUCAGUGAACUAAAUAACACACGUGAAUUAAUGGAAAAGAAUUUAAGAGCUUGAUGGACAACACCGUAAUCCGUAAGUGUGUUUCGUAAAUCGUAAAUCGUAAUGUGGUUUUUGCACCGACCUGUCAUUGUGGACUGGAUUGCGAAGCUCGUUGUUUACUGAAGCAAAAAUAAAGGGCCUUUUCAAUAACACAUGGCAUAAUAUAACCAAUAAUUCCAUGCAAUCCAUUCACGAUCCAGUGAUCGGAAUGUUCAAUUUCAUUGUAUUGAAAAUCACACUGUUCUCAGUGAUCGAAUUUUUCAAUUGUCAUUUCAUUGUUUUUCAAAUGAAGUUCAGAUUUGACUUCCACAACCACUACCUCUCACUGGCUUAGUAGUUUGUACGCGAUUGGUUAAUCGGAUAUGUCAAACGCAUCUGAUUGGUCAAUCGGAUAUUUCAAACGCAUCUGAUUGGUUAAUCGGAUAUAUCAAACGCAGCUGAUUGGUUGAUUGGAUAUGUCAAACGCAUCUGAUUGGUUAAUCGGAUAUAUCGAACGCAUCUGAUUGGUUAAUAGUCCCGUAAUGGUAGCGGUAGUGGAAGUGAAAACUGAACCUCUCUAAUUAUAUUAAAAAUACCAGAAUUUAAAAAUACCAGCAAAUAUAAAAAUGAACAAAUUCCAAGGUGUAUUUUGUCACCUUGAAAUUCAUGAUACGAAUAAAAGAACCUUCCCACAUCCGCUUCUGGAUUCUGUUGUAGUUCUUCGUAAAUUGUUUUAUUCUUCUGUAGCGGUUACCAAUUUAUGAGCAAAUACGGCGACAAAAUUUAGUUUUCUUUGUUUUUAUAUGAUAAUGCAGUGUAGCAAAUGAUGCAUUUUCCGUUUAAGUCACUGCAUUUUAACACAUAUUUGAAUUUUAUCGCGGUAUUUAUGUAUAUCUAUAAUCGCUACAGUAGUACAGAACAAACCAACCGAAACAUAACAUUUUUCCAACCAAAAUGCACAAAAAGAAUCUGACUUUCUGAGAAUAAAGUCAUAGUUAAACUUGUACUUAUAAAUAAACAGUAAACAGUUAUAAAUACACUCUCCUUUCUAUGUAUCUCUAGCCCAAGGGUUGAAAUUUAAAAAAAAAGCCCAAAUUUAAUAUCAGGUCGCCCUAUGUCAAUGUGUAUAUGAAGUAUUCUUUUUGUACAUACAUACAUACAUACACACAUACAUACACACAUACAUACAUACAUAGAUAACAUAACAAAACAGUUGCUUAAAUGUUGACAAAUUUUAUGCAAAAACAGAAUGAAAUGCUUGAUGAAUGAGCUGUUUUAAGGCUUUAGAAUUACUUUAUUAUUUUCUUAGUUGCCACCAUCGGCAAAUAUCUUCUCAGUUCUCACCAGAUGAAGAAUUCGG
rnacentral:lncRNA from 1 species